rnacentral:rRNA from 1 species
GAUGAACGCUGGCGGUAUGCUUAACACAUGCAAGUCGUACGAAGAUAAAAUUGUGCUUGCACGAUUUUAUACUUAGUGGCGGACGGGUGAGUAACACGUAAGAAUCUACCUUUUGGCGAGGGACAACCACUGGAAACGGUGGCUAAUACCUCAUAUAACUGAGAAGUGAAAGAUGAAAAUCACCAAGAGAUGAGCUUGCGUCUGAUUAGCUAGUUGGUAAGGUAAAGGCUUACCAAGGCGACGAUCAGUAGCUGGUCUGAGAGGAUGAUCAGCCACACUGGGACUGAGACACGGCCCAGACUCCUACGGGAGGCAGCAGUGAGGAAUUUUCCGCAAUGGGCGAAAGCCUGACGGAGCAAUACCGCGUGAAGGAUUAAGGCCUAUGGGUUGUAAACUUCUUUUCUUAGAGAAGAAUUUUGACGGUAUCUGAGGAAUAAGCUUCGGCUAACUCUGUGCCAGCAGCCGCGGUAAGACAGAGGAUGCAAGCGUUAUCCGGAUUAAUUGGGCGUAAAGCGUCUGUAGGUGGUUUAUCAAGUUUUUUGUCAAAGAUCGGGGCUUAACUCCGGGCAGGCAGAGAAAACUAGUAGACUUGAGUUCGGUAGGGGCAGAGGGAAUUCCCGGUGGAGCGGUGAAAUGCGUAGAGAUCGGGAGGAACACCAAAGGCGAAGGCACUCUGCUGGGCCGCAACUGACACUGAGAGACGAAAGCGAGGGUAGCAAAUGGGAUUAGAUACCCCAGUAGUCCUCGCCGUAAACGAUGGAUACUAGGUGUUGGAUGAGUUCAAUCAUUCAGUACCGUAGCUAACGCGUGAAGUAUCCCGCCUGGGGAGUACGCUCGCNAGAGUGAAACUCAAAGGAAUUGACGGGGGCCCGCACAAGCGGUGGAAGCAU